UCUUGCACUAAUGGAGGAAACUCUGAUGCAGCGGCGCCGCGUGAGCGAAGAAGCCUUUCGGGGUGUAAAGCUCUUACGCCAGGGACGAUAAUGACGGUACCUGGAGAAGCAGCUGCGGCUAACUACGUGCCAGCAGCCGCGGUCAAUACGUAGGCAGCAAGCGUUGUUCGGAAUUACUGGGCGUAAAGGGUGCGUAGGCGGCGCUCUAAGUUUGGUGUGAAAUCUCCCGGCUUAACUGGGAGGGUGCACUGAAAACUGGGGCGCUCGAGUAUGGGAGAGGAAAGCGGAAUUCCUGGUGUAGCGGUGCAAAUGCGUAGAGAUCAGGAGGAACACCUGCGGUGUAGACGGCUUUCUGGACCAUCACUGACGCUGAGGCACGAAAGCGUGGGUAGCAAACAGGAUUAGAUACCCUGGUAGUCCACGCCCUAAACGAUGCAUACUUGGUGUGGGUUCUUCACUGGAUCCGUGCUCGGAGUUAACGCGUUAAGUAUGCCUGCCUGGGGAGUACG
rnacentral:rRNA from 1 species